AGGGUGGCCUCCUGAUGGUAUGUUCUGGCCAGACCAAUGGUUACAGGUUUACAGCAUAUUGUUCUAGAUGCGGGUAGUGCACAUUAGUGUGGGCUGUGGUCUGCUCCGGACGGCUGGAGACAUGCCCCGAAGUAAGGCAGGCAUCUCUGUGGCAACUAAGGUGAUCUCUUUUGCUCUCGCUCUCCCGCCCUAUCUCCCUCCCUCUCCCUCUCUCUGUGUGUGUUUUGACACGAAGGUGGUCUCUCUUGGUACUACUACCUGUUGGUUUUUUGCCAUCCGACUUCAAAUUUGUUUGAGCUGGGCAAUUUACCUGGUAUUUGGUCUUUCUGGGUCCUGGAACCGGGAGGCAACUGCAGUGUGCAGUGUCUGAGCACUGAGCUCAUGCUGUGAUGUCGUCUGUCAGCAGCAGUUCGGCUGCCGCGAAACCUAGGCCUUGUUUAGUUACUAAAGUUUGGAGGUGCUAAAUUACUGUUACAACACUGUAGCACACUGUAGCGUUUCGUUUGUAUUUGUGAAUUAUUAUCCAAACAUUGACUAAUUAGGCUCAAAAGAUUCGUCUCGCAAAAUAUAAUAAAACUGUGCAAUUAGUUUUUAAUUUCAUCUACAUUUAAUACUCCAUGCAUGUACCGCAAGUUUGAUGUGAUGGGAAAUCUUUUUUUUUGCAUAGUGCAAAGUUGGAAGUUGGGAGUGAACUAAACAAGGCUGUAGUAUGCGUGUACGCAGCGAAAAGUUUACUUGCGUUGAAUCUAUCAUUGUCAGCUGCUGCAGCAGCACUGGAUGAGCUUAGGCCUUGGUUCUUUUUUUUUCUCCUUUUUUUUUUCGACACGGCACUGUGUUGAGAAAAUUUGAAGUUAGUAUCUUUGCGCUGGUGGUUCGGAUUGUAGCUCCUGUUUCUUGCAUUGUGUCAGUCUCGUCGAUCCAAGGAGUUGGGGGGCAAGCACCAACUGGGCCCUUAUUGGCGAAUUGGGCCUGUGUGUCACGACGGUACGCACAAAGGCCACGAUCUGUCACUGGUGCUGAAGAAAAAUGUUAUUUUCAUCAUGUAGAUCUUUUGGUUGCAAACCUGCCAAUAAGCAUCCAAAACUAACGUUACACACGAACAAAUAUCUGUUUUCUUGAGAUUUGCUUAUCUUCUUGGCAUUUACUUUUCUGCCAGCCAUACAAAGUUACGGAGUGUCGAUCGCAAUUUUAUACCAGCAUGACGUAUCCCUCGUAAUGAUGAUGGAUUCAAUUUCUCGUAACUAAACAGUGUCUUAACCCAAAAACUGUCAUAUAG
rnacentral:lncRNA from 1 species